rnacentral:rRNA from 1 species
UACGUAGGGUGCAAGCGUUGUCCGGAAUUAUUGGGCGUAAAGAGCUUGUAGGCGGUUUGUCGCGUCUGCUGUGAAAUUUCGGGGCUCAACCCCGAACUUGCAGUGGGUACGGGCAGACUAGAGUGAUGUAGGGGAGACUGGAAUUCCUGGUGUAGCGGUGAAAUGCGCAGAUAUCAGGAGGAACACCGAUGGCGAAGGCAGGUCUCUGGGCUGUAACUGACGCUGAGGAGCGAAAGCAUGGGGAGCGAACAGG